rnacentral:rRNA from 1 species
UACGGGGGGGGCAAGCGUUGUUCGGAAUUACUGGGCGUAAAGGGCUCGUAGGUGGCCAACUAAGUCAGACGUGAAAUCCCUCGGCUUAACCGGGGAACUGCGUCUGAUACUGGAUGGCUUGAGUUUGGGAGAGGGACGCGGAAUUCCAGGUGUAGCGGUGAAAUGCGUAGAUAUCUGGAGGAACACCGGUGGCGAAGGCGGCAUUCUGGACCGAUAUUGACGCUGAGGAGCGAAAGCCAGGGGAGCGAACGGG